GCAUUUACUAUUUAUCUCGUAGGAAAGAAUCGGUGCCUUCUCCAUUUUUGUCUUUGUUCUGACAGGGGUAUCUGUGCCAGGGCCACUCUCGCCACAAGUGGGCAUUUUCUCAGGAUGCAUCCUCCACUAUGUGACUAAAUCCAAAAACCAGUUGUGCAUGAACAGUCACAAUGAUCUGCACUUCCCUCCCUCCAGGUGCUCAUGCUAGUCAUGGAGAGUUCACCCACUCUCCAUGGAUUCACAUGAAAUCAUGUGUCCGGAAGAACAACGGCUACGACUCGGGAAGCGGAGGCGCAAACACAGAGAAAGCCGUGUGCCGAUGGAGCUUGGCGUGAUUCCUGCCUACCGCAUAAGGCCAUCCUUUAAAUUCUAGUGCCGAUGAGGAAGAGCAGAAAGUUGAGUCGAAAGCACUGAUUCCCAACUUGCUCAAGUUUUUCCUAGGAAGAUGAUCACUCUCUUUCCACAGGUAAAAAUAGAGCGCAAGAGGAUUACAACGUCCCUGUGGUCGUUACCGUCUGAUUUGCAUCAUGAAUUGAGUUCCUAAUCUAUCUAGGAGCAUCAUAAAAGAAAAAGAAAAAACAAGAAACUGUUAGCUACUGCAGUAACCGUUUUCGAAUUAGAGUAGCAACUUCAACGUGAAUCCCUUAACCGCACUAAUUCUUCAUCGAAAAGACGAGAUGGAUUAACCAAAAAACAAUCUUCAACAACAGUGAAACACGGAGGAGGAGGAAGCCAUGGCGGAAUGCGGAAUGUUCAAUAAUGUUACAACAGCUUAUGACCAAAAUGCAUGUAGUACGCAACGUUGCACCAAGGCAUCGGUAUCGGCCGAAAUUGGUCGGUGAGGCAUGUUCUUUCUGCUCCAAAGGCUACAUGUCCAUUAGAUUCUGAUUUCCUAUUCUCAACUAGACAACUUCCCAUCAACAUGUCUUCAUACUCCGGCCACAGUGUUGUAGGUACCGUGCACAGCAAAGAGUAGCCCGCGUAUCAAAAUGCAAAAAUCCAGAGCCGUUUGCCAGAGUCUCAGGGAAGGACCCAACAGUAACAAUUGAAACGAGGCCGGCAAAACAAACGAGAGAAGCGCGCAAACGGUUCUCCCCACGAGGGAGGCGAAGACUCCGAAUCCUGGUACGCAAGACGCUAAAGCACCCAAUCCUAACACCACUGCAGACGGAGGGCAUAAACCCCACACUUUCCCAUCUUUCUUUUUGAGCAACUGAGCUCAUCGCCGAGCAGUUUCUGAAACCAUUCUGUGCUUUUCAUCUUAUCUUCAAGAGUUAGAAAGAGAGAGAGAGAGAGAGAGAGAGAGAGAGAGAGUAGGGUUUUGGAGAGGGAAUGAAGAAGAAGAAGACGAUGGUGCUGACGAAGAAGAAGAAGAAGAAGAAGCAGCAACCGCGGCAACCCGCAGCAACCCAGCAGAAGAAGGUGGUGUACAGUAACACUAGUCUUGUCCGAUUUUUUGGACAGGACACUUUUUGUUUUUUGUUUUUUUCUGGACAGGGCACAUUUAUUCAUGUGAGUGAGCGUAGCAUUCUUUUGUCUAAUAAAAUUAAAUACCAC
rnacentral:lncRNA from 1 species